rnacentral:rRNA from 1 species
AGAGUUUGAUCCUGGCUCAGAUUGAACGCUGGCGGCAUGCCUUACACAUGCAAGUCGAACGGCAGCACGGGGGCAACCCUGGUGGCGAGUGGCGAACGGGUGAGUAAUACAUCGGAACGUGUCCUGUAGUGGGGGAUAGCCCGGCGAAAGCCGGAUUAAUACCGCAUACGACCUAAGGGAGAAAGCGGGGGAUCUUCGGACCUCGCGCUAUAGGGGCGGCCGAUGGCAGAUUAGCUAGUUGGUGGGGUAAAGGCCUACCAAGGCGACGAUCUGUAGCUGGUCUGAGAGGACGACCAGCCACACUGGGACUGAGACACGGCCCAGACUCCUACGGGAGGCAGCAGUGGGGAAUUUUGGACAAUGGGGGAAACCCUGAUCCAGCAAUGCCGCGUGUGUGAAGAAGGCCUUCGGGUUGUAAAGCACUUUUGUCCGGAAAGAAAACCUUCGAGCUAAUACCUUGAGGGGAUGACGGUACCGGAAGAAUAAGCACCGGCUAACUACGUGCCAGCAGCCGCGGUAAUACGUAGGGUGCGAGCGUUAAUCGGAAUUACUGGGCGUAAAGCGUGCGCAGGCGGUUUGUUAAGACAGAUGUGAAAUCCCCGGGCUUAACCUGGGAACUGCAUUUGUGACUGGCAAGCUAGAGUAUGGCAGAGGGGGGUAGAAUUCCACGUGUAGCAGUGAAAUGCGUAGAGAUGUGGAGGAAUACCGAUGGCGAAGCAGCCCCCUGGGCCAAUACUGACGCUCAUGCACGAAAGCGUGGGGAGCAACAGGAUUAGAUACCCUGGUAGUCC